UCUAGUUUUCAACAAAGAUUAUAUUGGUAAUACACAUUGAUACAUUGAACGAAUAAGGAAAUUUUAAACUUUAGCUGUUUCGAAACAGAAAUAUCUGCAGUUCCCAAUAAGCUCUUUCUGUGUCAAUACCAUUUACUGAAGUGUGCAACAGAUACACUGAACAUGAAGAUCUUAGUCAAACUUGGCUGUGUCUUAUUGAUACUUCUUACACUGACAACAGAAGUGCUUCUUUUGACUUGUGGAGAAUCUAAUUUUGAUAAAAUCCUACGACAGCAGGAAAAUGGAUUUACAAACAUCAGUUAUACCAUCAACCUUGCACGGCAAGCUCUCUUUCUUCAGAAUUGUUUUACAUCUAUGAGACUUGUGAUGAUAAUAGGAAAGAAAUUAGCUGCACCUUUGAAUGGAGAGAGAACAGUAGCAGCAGAUUUGGGAAGGUGUUAGGUAAAAGGACAGGUGUGAUUUGUUUCGGGGAGAAACGAAACCCCAGAAGCUCUGUGGCUUUCGAUAUUCACAUUUCUCAGGUCGCCACGAGGUCACUCACUGUUAUGAAGCUUUACCCCCCGGGAGUAAAGAAACCCCUACUAACACGGAUGAUACGUGUUGAGGUGCUCUAUCCACCCAACAUCACCAGUCUGACUGUGGAAGGACAAGAGGCUAAUAACGAUUAUGUCGUUGACCAAAGUAAGGAGGUGAAUGUUUCCUGCUUUUAUAAGCAAGGGAAUCCUCCAGCCUUCGUCUAUCUGAUGGAUAAACAUGGAACUGAACUGAAAUCUUCACACGAAGGAAGCUUGAGCCACUCUCUUACUGCCCAGUGUGAAGAUGACUGGCCGGUAGUCAGAUGUGAAGGCAACGGGACCUGCAAAACAAUCCGUGA